CCGGCGUCCUGGAACUCGCACAUCGAUUCCAGUGUGUCUACAUAUAUACUCUCGCGGCGACGGUAGUUUCGAUUUAAAUGGAACCGAAAUAUGUACGUAAAAAAAAAAAAAAAAUCAAAAAAAAUCAAAAAAAAAAAAGAAGAUCGAGAAAAAAAAAAUUUUCGCUUCCGAAAAUAUUUUCGAAAUGUAUAUCCGAACGGUAGGCGGUGGGACGUACGUCGGACACCGCUUAAUAUUCUCCAAUUAGCACCGCACGGUAGCGUUGUCAGAGUUAAACUGAAGGAAUUGCAGGGGGGCGGCGGCGGCGGUGACGGCGACGUAUGGGAGGGCGCGGAUGAUUCGUGAUCGCCGCUGCAGUCCUGUUUGUGCUUUCUAAAUUGGAUCUGCACCAGGUAAUAACGAAGCGUCUUCCUCGAUAUCCCUCCGUACGUUACAUCUCCAACGGCUCGUUAUCUCCUCCGUAAUUUUCAACGAAGUAAGAAUCAAUUGAACACACAUCGGGUACACCGUUCGUAGCUCGUCGUUCGGUUAAGGCGAACCAGGUUGCGCUCGUCGGCGUCGAUGCGAGAAACUGGACGUCCUCGAGGAGAAGUUGCCCGCACACGGUCUGAGCCAAUGAUCGGUGUUUAUAUCCAAGCCUAUCUCACUUUCCGUCUCUUAAUUCAUCGGAAUCAACAUCGGAGUCUACCGGGUUAUUCGAUCCAUACCGGUUCCAAGAGGUUUCAAAACUGCAUAAGGGAAAUCUAUUAUGGAACUUCAAGACCGGAAAUAUCGGGUUCGACCGAAGCGGAAGGGGUACAGGAAAAUACUGAGCCAAGGGUCGUAAGGUCAUGGAAUUCAAACGACCGCCACAUGCGCUGUACCUUCACCCCAAUUAUCAUUUCCACGUUAUCGAGCUUCCAUGUGGUGAGUCAACGAAUUGACCUCCGCAGUGCGUAUUAUUCAAACGCUGUAAUUUACCGAUUUCAUUUGAAAAACCAUAUACAUAUACGCAAAGAACUAUGAAUAAUCGUCGCUUUGCAUUUUUAUUGGCGAGCCAACGCAUCCCAACGAAACGUGAGUGAACUGCGAAAAAUUGUUCUCCAUUCGAUUAUACAUUUUAUCAACUGCAACGACAUGAAAUCAAAAUAAAAAGAACAAGAGGUGUGCGAGAACCUGAUCAGAAAACCUGUAUAUAUGCAAAUCGGCGGAUACGAGCGAAUCAAAUCUACUUUCAAAGGGCCAUGGAUACUGGUAGCAUAGAUAAGUGACAAACUACUCCGUCGCGUCGGGAUGAAUAAAAAAUGGAAAAACAACGGCGUUGCACGCCUCGGGUUUCGGUCUAGAUGCAGUCUGAGGUGCACAUCCGUACAUGUGUAUUGCAGCGUGGUGCGCCGGUACAGUCGCAAAUGUACCGACAUUGCGAAAGGCGUUCGCGAAGAAGAAUCCAGCGAAA
rnacentral:misc_RNA from 1 species